UUGUGAUAGUAUAUGUUUCUCUACUACUUAAAAGCGGAGUGGUCCUCCUUCCACUUCUUCUAAAUAAGAAGCGUGUCCGUCCGUCCCCACGGAGAAAAAACUUCCCAUGACGCAUAUAGUAAAAAAAAAGAAAAACAAAAAAAGCACCGCACGAACAGAAAAAACAAAACAAAUGGACGACGCGCACAGUCGGGUACUCCGCCGCCGCCCAGUCCCCGUCGUCGCCUCCACCGCCGCUUCUCUGCCGUCGCCUUGUCCGCCGUCGCCGUCUGCCGCUUCUCUGCCGUCGCCACCGUCUGCCGCUUCUCCGCCGCCAUCGCCGCACAGUCCCCGUCACCGGCCAGGUAUUCUUUCCUCCUCCUCCUCCUCAAUUGUCACAAGAUCGUAUUAUCUUCUCCCCUCUUGUACUCCAGUGCCAUUAAUAGUCGGUUAGGCUUAGCUUGAUUGAUUUUUAUGUUGAAAAUGUCCGGGUUAGGCUGAUUGAUUUUUAUCCUGAAUGUUGAUUAUGUAUGCUUCUAACUUCUUUUGAUCUCGUUAGUGUUGUGUUGUGUAGCAAACAAGGAAACAAAAAUAGACAGAGGAUUUAGGAAGAAGAUGAAACCAAUUACAUUAACAAUCACUAGAUGAUUACUGAUUUACACCUUUUUAGUUCUUUUAUCUUUCAUCAUGCAUUUCAACAAUUUUCUGGCUGCUGGUUGAGUUUCUACAUUGCAAUUUUUUACUCAUGUUGUCAUACCCUAUUGAAUUUCAGAUUGCUUCUGUUAUUUCAUUUGUAAAAUCAUUGGGUAAACUUAUUUUUGUUCACUUACUGUUCUUCUAAUCUAAGGAGAUCACUUCCGUAUCGAUUGGAUCACCUAUAUAUAUUUCAUUUUGCUCACAAUACUAUAAAAUAAUAGUAUUCCAUAUGAAUUCAACAAACAAAAAAUGGAUAAGUACCAAAAAUUCCAAUUUCAGAUUUAAACAUUAUUAUGAACAUGAGAUAAUGCUCUGCACUGCCUGUUAAAUCCUGAUGCAUACCACUGGUUAUGUAUGUACUGCAUCAUGGUUUAUUUUUUGAUACGUUUGUUGCUUGUAAGUAUCAGAGUGCAAAAUAUCGCUUUUCAAUUUCCUGCUUUCUCUUGGCAGCCCUAAUGGAAAAAAAGGAAGUUUUUGCUGCUUGCCUGAAGGUUCAGAAGCGGGACGCAUACAGAAUAUAUCAUUGGGAUGGUCUAUUUACAUGAAGCAAUACAUAUGUUCGAAAACUGACGUUCGGUCCAAUCCUCCAUUGGGUUACUGUCUUUUUUCUCUUUGCAAGCAUCAUAAUUCGCGCAACACUCAAAUAGUUCUGCAGUAAUAAUUUGCAUGCCAUCUUUGUCCAUGUUAUCCCUAAAUAUUCAUCAGAUCGUCAGCUAUAAUGCUACAUGCCUUGUUGUGCUGAAUAUUGUGACUCAUCAUAUCAGGCUUUGCAUCAAGACAAAUACAUAUAAGAUUAUGGAAUUGCUU
rnacentral:lncRNA from 1 species